GUGCUGUCUUCAGUAGCAGAUAUACUAAAAUUGGAAUGAUACAGAGAUUAGCAUGGCCCCUGCACAAGGAUGACACAAAUUCGUGAAGCGUUCCAUAUUUUU
rnacentral:snRNA from 1 species